GUGCUUCAACCAGUAGUUCAUUCACGAAUGUCAGAGACAUGCAGGCAACUCUCAUCCACGCUUUGACGAUCAUGCACAGAUGCAACAUGGACCUGCUUGUGGUUCUUCUAACUGUCAGAUAAGAUAAUUCUACAUUUUACCAAACUACACUAAAAAAAGACUUGCAUUUAAGUCCACCAUCCAUGGAUGACAGCAGUGCGUCAGCGCCUUGGUACUGGAGAUCAAAACCCCUGGGGAAGGUGAGGCGACGGGUUCAAGACCUCCGCAUCCCUUCCCCCUCUUGCUAUGACUUGAUAGCCAACAGACCGGCGUUGGACCUGAGCCAUAACGAGAGCGCCCGGCUGGCAGUGGACUCCCUGCUCAGCCGCGGCUUAGAGGGAUACCACGAGGUGUUGAACGCAGAAGGAGAAGUGGACUUUCUGUCACAGCUGGAGAAGAUUUACAUCCUGGAAAAUGGGAGGGAUGGAAACACAGGUUCUGAUCCUGGUGCAUCUGAUGAAAGUGACACAGACUUUGACAGUUUGUCUACUGGAUCCCAGUCUGCCACACAAUGUCCUGCAGUGUCCACAGACAGUGAUCCCAUUUUGGCAGGUUUGGACCUGAGCAGCCAAAAAGAUGUAAAGCAGACUGACCCUGCCCUGGAUAAGCCAGAUGUUGAGGUUUAUUUUCAGUUUGACAACAGGGCAGCCAGCAUGAAAGACCUGGUCAGAGAGUUCAUCAGAAACGCUGGAAUGGCCCUGGCCAUAGUGAUGGACAGCUUCAGUGACGUAGAGCUGCUCUGUGAUCUUCUCGAGGCGAGCAGGAAGAGGAAUGUGUCUGUUUAUCUGCUGCUGGAUCAUCUCCACCUGAACCUGUUUGUGAGCAUGUGGCAGGAACUCAAACUCAACAGCAAAAACUUUCCUAAACUGUCAGUACACAGUGUGGAUGGACAGACCUACUGUGCCAAGACAGGCAGGAAGCUGACUGGUCAGAUUGCUGAGAGUUUUAUCAUCUCUGACUGGACUGAGGUGUUGACUGGCUCAUACAGUUUCUCCUGGCUGUCCUGGCAGACCCAUCGUGGUCUUGCUGUUCUUGUAAAGGGCAGCGCAGUCACACCUUUCCAUCAGGAAUUCCUCAGGCUACAUUCCAGCUCCAAACCAAUCCCCGGCUUUGAUACUUUUAUCACAGUGCCUCACACUCUCCCUCUUUACACCACAUUACAUGCAGCUGAAAGCACUUACAAUGAUCCCAGUAAGUCAAAACCGAGCCCGACCAAAACAAUAUGCCCCAGGGCUCAGAAGGAAGAUGGUCAAGAAGACACUCAAACAAAAGCAAAAAUGCCGGUUUUAUCCAAUUCACAGAGUGCAGAAUUGGAGUGCAGCAAGGGUAAGCCCCAACCUCUACACAGAGCAAGCGCUGGUACACAAAUGCAUGAAAAACCUCCACAAUUGUGCCUAAAACCCCUUAUUCAACCAGGGGCACUGCAGAGUGUAUCUGUGGGAGAGCAUACAAUAGGAGCUGUCUGCACACAACUUGGAGCACAAACACAUGUAGAGUUUCUGGAGAAGAAUCAACCCCAGAUCCAGAGUCACUCAAACCCUCUCAGUCAGCCCCAUGUCUCAAAUGUUCAGUCUCACCACUUCAUCGCCACUACAGCUGAGAAGAAUGCGAGGGCUCAAGAGUCAAACCCUCUAUACACUGCUUCCCCUACAUAUGAUCAGCACAGGAUUGUCAGCUAUCAACCAACUUUCAGGAUUAAUCUCGAGCACCAUUAUGUGGGUACUGAAGGUCUUUUCUUUCACCAAAGGAAUAGGAACAGAUUGACAGAGCAUUCUGGGAUUGCUCCAGGUCUAGACACACAAAGACGACAAUGGAACUACUUACUUAACUUUAAACCAAAGGCUGACUUUCUAUCUGCUAAUCCCAAAGUCCUGCCUCCUUCCACAUUACAGCAAAAACAAGCAAAGACAGACCUGUGGCUUCCUUUAACCCACCCGAGGGGACACACAUCUGGGCUACAAACUAAAGUGUCCUCUCUAGGAACAAGGAGGCAAGAUCACCCCCAGAAGCAUCACCAACCCUCCCUCCAGUUGCACCAAACCACAGAGGCUUCAGGUUCAAAGUCAGCAUCAUCAGCCCUGGGAGCUCAUCUUAAACCUCAGCUCCAGUCAGACUCCAAGCUGUUCUUACCAGGUACAGGAGCCACACAACAUCUACAGCCCCACACUUCACAGCAGGCGAGGCCCCCUCCAAGACUAAACUGGAUGAGCCAGAGUCGCACUGAAAGACCCAGACCUGUGGCUCGCCUCAGCUCCUUCAGCACCAACUACGGGACGGGACAGCAAACGGACGGACAGGUGGGUUGGAGGCCGUUUCAUAGCAGCAUGAAUACAUCGGUAGGAAGGAGCCAGAGCACGGCUGACAGACAAUUAGCAGGCCUUAAUCCAAACAUAACCAAGCCCUGACAGAAAUAUACAGACAGAUACAAGUUGAUCUUUAAAGUAUAUUCUACUGUUUAAAACAUAUGAAAUCUAUUUUACUGUUUAAAAAAUAUAUGAAAUUAUAUUAAAUGAGUGUAUUUUGUCUACAGAAUUAUGUGUUAAGACUGAUGUGUGAACUAUUUUUAGAGCAUCAACCUUUGUGUGAUUUGUGUGUAGCAUUUAAAAAAAAAAAAAUUCUUAAAAAAAAAAGAUUUAAUUUUUGCUUAGUAAAUGUUUUUAAACCCUAAAAGCCUAUACAAUUGUGUCAAAAAUGUGAUAAUACAACACGACAAACAGUGAGGGAGACAUCAGUUAAGCACUGUGUGAGGUCUAAUGAGGUCAUUACUGUAAGGGAAAACACCUGUGUGGGUGUAACAUGUAUGGGGGCGUUAUAUUACCCAUGUAAAAGAAGAAAAUAAAGUCUCCCCUUACCAACUGCUC